rnacentral:rRNA from 1 species
AUUGAACGCUGGCGGCAGGCCUAACACAUGCAAGUCGGACGGUAGCACAGAGGAGCUUGCUCCUCGGGUGACGAGUGGCGGACGGGUGAGUAAUGUCUGGGGAUCUGCCCGAUAGAGGGGGAUAACCACUGGAAACGGUGGCUAAUACCGCAUAACGUCGCAAGACCAAAGAGGGGGACCUUCGGGCCUCUCACUAUCGGAUGAACCCAGAUGGGAUUAGCUAGUAGGCGGGGUAACGGCCCACCUAGGCGACGAUCCCUAGCUGGUCUGAGACGAGGACCAGCCACACUGGACCUGAGACACGGGCCAGACUCCUACGGGAGGCAGCAGUGGGAAAUAUUGCACAAUGGGCGCAAGCCUGAUGCAGCCAUGCCGCGUGUAUGAAGAAGGCCUUCGGGUUGUAAAGUACUUUCAGCGGGGAGGAAGGCGAUGUGGUUAAUAACCGCAUUGAUUGACGUUACCCGCAGAAGAAGCACCGGCUAACUCCGUGCCAGCAGCCGCAGUAA